rnacentral:lncRNA from 1 species
AUUCGGUUCUUUAAAUUUAUGUCAUUUUUCAGAAAAAUCUCUCUCUGUAACAAUCAAAACAUCUUGUUUUUGAAUUCCCCAAGUUGUACUCGUCUAUAUCCGAUUUUUGAAGUGGCGUAUCUCCUUUAAUUAGAGAUUUAAAACCAGAAAUAUUUUCCCCAAAAUUCGACUGGUGGUGGUGGUUAUUAUAUCUUCGAAUUUUUUUAUUUUCCUCCUCAAAGUUUUCGUGGUUAACACACACUUUUUUUUCCUUGGUAGAAUCGAUACGGUUACACUUCAGAUUUCGAUAGCCUAGCGACAUUGUUUCUGCUGGCCAUCAGCAGCAUGAUCCGGAAUCAAUUUCCAUUUUUAUACAUUCUUUUUUUUUUUUUUACUAUUAUUAUUAUCCUUCUAGUUCUCUUACUACAGAAUUCAAGCCCGACAACAGCGUGAAAACAAUAUUAUGCAGUUUAAACGGCUGAAAGACAAACCAGCUACCGAGUUUAUGCAUGCCAUGCCAAACAAAGUUUAAAUACCGUGGCACGUUGAAAAUCUCUGUUUCUCUCUCUAGCAAAAGUUCCAGGUUCGAACUUUAAUGAAAACAUAUGGUUGGUUAGGAAAAAAAAAAAAGAACGUUUGGCUUUAAUGCAUAAAAAUUGAAUUAAAAGUACAUUAUGCGCAGAAAAUGUUAAGUCUUCUUAUUCGGGUGCCAUUAAUUGAUAAGCUAUACUUCAGAUACCGCUUGUGAUAUAAUUAAAUAACGUCUCAGUUUAACGAUACGGCGAAAGAUACUUAAAUAAAUUUUCGUCGCGUUAUAACGCAUUUUUCUUAGCGUUUUAUUGCUUUAAUGGACAAUAAUUUCACUCGAAUUACCGUUUGUUUUGUUCGUGUAUUUUUCGUUGCCAGAGUUUUCGGAAGAAUCGGAAAAAUACGUCGAAGAGAAAUCGUUUUUUUUUUCUUUUUUUUUCCUUACCCCUUCUCUCCUCCUCCACCGCGUCACAGAUGGCAAAAAAUAAACACAGUAAAAACUGCAGUUAAAAACUUUAUUAAUAAUUUAUCACUCGAAACUUUUAUUCGUUUUUGGUCGGCC